rnacentral:rRNA from 1 species
UACAGAGGUGGCAAGCGUUUGUUCGGAAUUACUGGGCGUAAAGGGCGCGUAGGCGGUUCGUUAAGUCCUGUGUGAAAUCCCCCGGCUCAACUGGGGAACUGCACAGGAAACUAGCGGGCUUGAGUUCGGGAGAGGGAAGCGGAAUUCCGGGUGUAGCGGUGAAAUGCGUAGAUACCCGGAGGAACACCGGUGGCGAAGGCGGCUUCCUGGACCGACACUGACGCUGAGGCGCGAAAGCUAGGGGAGCAAACGGG